rnacentral:tRNA from 1 species
GACCCCGUAGCGCGGUUGGAUGGAGCGCCUGCCUUCUAGGCAGGGGGUCGGCUGUUUGAAUCCGCCCGGGCGCGC